GACGAACGCUGGCGGCGUGCUUAACACAUGCAAGUCGAACGGAAAGGCCCUGCUUUUGUGGGGUGCUCGAGUGGCGAACGGGUGAGUAACACGUGAGUAACCUGCCCUUGACUUUGGGAUAACUUCAGGAAACUUGGGCUAAUACCGGAUAGGAUCUCCUGCCGCAUGGUGGGGGUUGGAAAGUUUCGGCGGUUGGGGAUGGACUCGCGGCGUAUCAGCUUGUUGGUGGGGUAGUGGCUUACCAAGGCUUUGACGGGUAGCCGGGCUGCGAGGGUGACCGGCCACGUUACGACUGGGAUGCGGCCCAGACUCCUACGGGACGCAACGGAGCAGAAUAGUACACAGUGGGCUGAAGCCUGAUGUGACAACGCCGCGUGCGGGAAGACAGCCUUCGGUUUGGAAUCCACUUUCGCCUGUGACGAGGCGUGAGUGACGGUAAUGGGUAAAGAAGCACCGGCUAACUACGUG
rnacentral:rRNA from 1 species